rnacentral:rRNA from 1 species
CCCGCUGAACUUAAGCAUAUCAAUAAGCGGAGGAAAAGAAACUAACAAGGAUUCCCCUAGUAACGGCGAGUGAAGAGGGAAAAGCUCAAAUUUGAAAUCUGGCAGUCUACGGCUGUCCGAGUUGUAAUCUAGAGAAGUGUUUUCCGUGCUGGACCGCGUACAAGUCCUUUGGAACAAGGCGUCAUAGAGGGUGAGAAUCCCGUCUACGACACGGACUGCCAGUGCUCUGUGAUACACUCUCAACGAGUCGAGUUGUUUGGGAAUGCAGCUCAAAAUGGGUGGUAAAUGCCAUCUAAAGCUAAAUAUUGGCGAGAGACCGAUAGCGAACAAGUACCGUGAGGGAAAGAUGAAAAGCACUUUGGAAAGAGAGUGAAACAGUACGUGAAAUUGUUGAAAGGGAAACGCUUGAAGUCAGUCACGUCGACCGAGACUCAGCCUUGCCUUGGCUUGGUGUACUUCUCGGCCUGACGGGUCAGCAUCAAUUUUGCCCCUCGGAUAAUGGCAAGGGAAAGGUGGCACCUUUACGGGUGUGUUAUAGUCUCCUGUCGCAUGCGAGGGGUGGGAUUGAGGAACUCAGCACGCGCCUCGGUGUCGGGGCUUCGGCCCACGUUCACGUGCUUAGGAUGUUGGCGUAAUGGCUUUAAACGACCCGUCUUGAAACACGG